UACAGAGGGUGCGAGCGUUAAUCGGAAUUACUGGGCGUAAAGCGCGCGUAGGCGGCUUUUCAAGUCGAUUGUGAAAUCCCCCGGGCUCAACCUGGGAACUGCAGUCGAGACUGUCUAGCUAGAGUAUGGGGAGAGGGAAGUGGAAUUUCAGGUGUAGCGGUGAAAUGCGUAGAUAUCUGAAGGAACAUCAGUGGCGAAAGCGACUUCCUGGACCAAUACUGACGCUCAUGUGCGGAAAGCGUGGGGAGCAAACAGG
rnacentral:rRNA from 1 species